rnacentral:rRNA from 1 species
UACGUAGGGGGCAAGCGUUGUCCGGAUUUAUUGGGCGUAAAGGGCGCGUAGGCGGCUUGGUAAGCGUGCGGUGAAAGCUCGGGGCUCAACCCCGAGUCUGCCGUGCGAACUGCCGGGCUUGAGCACAGUAGAGGCAGAUGGAAUUCCGGGUGUAGCGGUGGAAUGCGUAGAGAUCCGGAGGAACAUCAGUGGCGAAAGCGACUUCCUGGACCAAUACUGACGCUCAUGUGCGAAAGCGUGGGGAGCAAACAGG